rnacentral:rRNA from 1 species
GAUGAACGCUAGCGGCAGGCCUAACACAUGCAAGUCGAGGGAGAAGCCCUUCGGGGCAGAAACCGGCGCACGGGUGCGUAACGCGUAUGCAACCUACCUUUCACAGGGGGAUAGCCCGAAGAAAUUUGGAUUAAUACCCCAUAAUAUUGUUGGAUGGCAUCAUUUAGCAAUUAAAACUACGGUGGUGAAAGAUGGGCAUGCGUCCUAUUAGCUAGUUGGAGUGGUAACGGCACCCCAAGGCUACGAUAGGUAGGGGUCCUGAGAGGGAGAUCCCCCACACUGGUACUGAGACAGGGACCAGACUCCUACGGGAGGCAGCAGUGAGGAAUAUUGGUCAAUGGUCGGAAGACUGAACCAGCCAUGCCGUGUGCAGGAAGAAUGCCUUAUGGGUUGUAAACUGCUUUUAUAUGGGAAGAAUAAGGUGUACGAGUACAUUGAUGACGGUACCAUAUGAAUAAGCAUCGGCUAACUCCGUGCCAGCAGCCGCGGUAAUACGGAGGAUGCGAGCGUUAUUCGGAAUCAUUGGGUUUAAAGGGUCUGUAGGCGGGCUAUUAAGUCAGGGGUGAAAGGUUUCAACUUAACUGAGAAAUUGCCUUUGAUACUGGUAGUCUUGAAUAUCUGUGAAGUUCUUGGAAUGUGUAGUGUAGCGGUGAAAUGCUUAGAUAUUACACAGAACACCGAUUGCGAAGGCAGGGGACUAACAGACAAUUGACGCUGAGAGACGAAAGCGUGGGGAGCGAACAGG